rnacentral:rRNA from 1 species
GACGAACGCUGGCGGCGUGCUUAACACAUGCAAGUCGAGCGGUAAGGCCCUUUCGGGGGUACACGAGCGGCGAACGGGUGAGUAACACGUGGGUGACCUGCCCUCAGCUCUGGGAUAAGCCUGGGAAACCGGGUCUAAUACUGGAUAUGACUCCAUGGCGCAUGUUGUGGGGUGGAAAGCCUUGUGCGGCUGAGGAUGGGCCCGCGGCCUAUCAGCUUGUUGGUGGGGUGANGGCCUACCAAGGCGACGACGGGUAGCCGGCCUGAGAGGGCGACCGGCCACACUGGGACUGAGACACAGCCCAGACUCCUACGGGAGGCAGCAGUGGGGAAUCUUGCGCAAUGGGCGAAAGCCUGACGCAGCGACGCCGCGUGAGGGAUGACGGCC